AUUUCAUGUCAUCAGGGAAAAUACCAGUAAAUAAAGACAAAUUAAAAAUGAAUGUUAAUGGUUCUGUGAUAGAGUCACCUGCUAAUUUUAGAAGCUUAAUUGAAAUAUUAUCAGUGCCUGUUGCUUUGGUAGCUUUCGAUUUCUUUAAUACGCUUUUCACAUUUGCUUUUGUAAUACUUUUGAAGUUAAAAUCAGCUGUCCCUACUGUCACGUAUUUCA